CUCCACAAGCUAACAUCUCUUACUCGUGACUGCUUCAGUAUGGAAACAUUCACGGGUACUGUCAUGGCUGAACUGUGCCCUUCCCUGCAAAGUUCAUAUUGAAGUCUUAAUCCUCCAAACCUCAGAAGGAGAUUAGGGCUCAGGCAUCCUCAGGAAGAUGUGGAGAUGGAGAAUUGGGCAUCCUGAAACCAGAGGCGCCGGCAUGGUGCUGUUGGACUUCCAGUACAAGGAAGCUAAGGGACCUUGCCCUGAAGAGUGGGAAGACCAGUCAUCCACCAUGAAGAACAUUCAGCUCUGUCUGGCAUGAUCCUGACUGAAUCCGUGUAGCACCGCCAUGUCACCCAAACCCCCACAGCUCUCUGAAGGCAGUUCAGAAGCUCGGCGAGGGCAGCUACCUCACUGUGUGGCCCCAACCAAGUAACUGGAGGAAACCAUCACAGGUGAUUCCAGCCGACAGCGCUACACGUUUUUCCCCUUUCAUAAUUGCCUGAUCUGUCAGAGUUUCCCUUUUCGUUCCACUUGUGGAUGGUGUAAAUGGAUCU